CAGAGAGAUUCCGGAGUCCUAUGGAGUAGUGGAUGGUGAAUCCUUAAGUGCUGAGACCUGAGGCAAGUGAGCAAGAUAAAAAAAAAUCACACGAGAUACAAAACACACGAAUACCAAAAACCUGAGAUCGAGACGAAAGGCUGGAAACUACCAAACAGUAGCAAUCAUCAGGCGUCAACCUGUGUUUGUCAUGAGUCUGCUGUUUCUCCCUCUGAGUCUAAUUGCAGGUGGGCGUGUCGGAGAGCCUCAGCUGCUGCUGAUUUCCCAUCAGCAAGGCAAGGGGAUUUAAGGAGUGGCGUGUCCACACUCCAGCGCCGGUUGAUACUCUCACCUGAUACUUCCAGCCUUGUCCUGAAAUUGUACAGUUUUUGCAAUCUUGCUCUGCUUGUCCUGUUUAAUUACCUGUCCUGCCUCCUCCAGUUCUACUACCAAGUCUCAGCCUGAGUUCUCUUCUGUCCUGGAGUGUGUACCUCAGCCUCGCCACUCAUUCUCCCCUGGUCAUCUGCUCUCCGCCGUUCACCUGCUCUGGAUAUUCGUCAACCACAUCCAUCCAGCUCAACCUAAUUCUCCAUCGACCAGACCUGACCUACCCUCUCCUCAGAUUCAUCCACUGUUCUGUCUCCACCCCGACCCGGUUUCCGCUUCGUCUAAGUUCGCCCUUAGUUCCCGUUGGCUUUUCCAGCACCCGUUUGGAGCUGCGUCCUUCGUUAUUAUUAUUUUUUCAUUUAAUAAAAUCAAAUUCAUAUUUUCUUA